UAGGGAAUCUUCGGCAAUGGACGAAAGUCUGACCGAGCAACGCCGCGUGAGUGAAGAAGGUUUUCGGAUCGUAAAACUCUGUUGUUAGAGAAGAACAAAGACGUUAGUAACUGAACGUCCCCUGACGGUAUCUAACCAGAAAGCCACGGCUAACUACGUGCCAGCAGCCGCGGUAAUACGUAGGUGGCAAGCGUUGUCCGGAUUUAUUGGGCGUAAAGCGAGCGCGGGCGGUUUCUUAAGUCUGAUGUGAAAGCACCCGGCUCAACCGGGGAGGGUCAUUGGAAACUGGGAGGCUUGAGUGCAGAAGAGGAGAGUGGAACUCCAUGUGGAGCGGUGAAAUGCGGAGAUAUAAGGAGGAACACGAGUGGCGAAGGCGGCUCUCUGGUCUGUAACUGACGGUGAGGCUAGAGAGCGUGGGGAGCAAACAGG
rnacentral:rRNA from 1 species